rnacentral:rRNA from 1 species
CAUACCACCCUGAACGCGCCCGAUCUUGUCUGAUCUCAGAAGCUAAGCAGGGUCGGGCCUCGUUAGUACUUGGAUGGGAGAUGACACAUUUUAAAUACCAGGAA